GCAACGCGAAGAACCUUACCAGGUCUUGACAUCCCGAUGCCCGCUCUAGAGAUAGAGUUUUACUUCGGUACAUCGGUGACAGGUGGUGCAUGGUUGUCGUCAGCUCGUGUCGUGAGAUGUUGGGUUAAGUCCCGCAACGAGCGCAACCCCUAUUGUUAGUUGCCAUCAUUAAGUUGGGCACUCUAGCGAGACUGCCGGUAAUAAACCGGAGGAAGGUGGGGAUGACGUCAAAUCAUCAUGCCCCUUAUGACCUGGGCUACACACGUGCUACAAUGGUUGGUACAACGAGUCGCAAGCCGGUGACGGCAAGCUAAUCUCUUAAAGCCAAUCUCAGUUCGGAUUGUAGGCUGCAACUCGCCUACAUGAAGUCGGAAUCGCUAGU
rnacentral:rRNA from 1 species